rnacentral:lncRNA from 1 species
AGAGGCAUGUAUGUGUUAAGGGAAAGAGGCCCUGGGAGCCAGGAAUGCAGGGCAGAUCAGAGUGAGCCAAACCAGGAAUGGAAGUUCUCACAGUCACUACUGAGUCCAGGGACAGAGCAAGGUACUGGGAAUGGAACCUGGGACUUGACACAUGUGAGAUUCCAAUACUUGGUUACUAUUCCUGUGAUUAAAUACGAUGCUGUGGGUGUAGCUCAGUGUGGAACAUUCGCCAACAUGCACAAGGCUCUGGGGUUGAGAAGAAAGGAAAAAGGGAGCAAGAAAUUCAAGCUGAGAUGUAGGUGAUAUGGUGGUGCUCUGUUGGCCAGAAAGCGGCUAAGUGCCCUGACUGGAGCUUGCAGAGAGAGGCCUCAACCAAAUCUGUCCAUGUCACUCAUCUGCCUUGUUUCAGCUACAGGCUGACCCCUGUAGUAGGGGGUGCAGUGGAGGAAGGUGGGUCUGGCUGUUAUCAGAAUGUGGUGAGGACAGGGUAGUAGUGUACCCCAAUUGGGUAGAGAAGGACAAACUUGUCAAAACACAAGAAAAAAAACUGAUGUGCUAAGAAGAGAUGCCACUGGAUUUAAAAUGAAGCGUCACAGAAAGUCUUGUAUGCAGAAACAGUGUCAUUGAAGGACUAGCAGAAGAUCUAAGUGCAAGCUAGACAGUGGUGAACAGGACUCCAGAGGGUUAACCAAAGGUAAAUGAAACAUUGGCC